rnacentral:rRNA from 1 species
AAGUAAAAGUCGAACAAGGUCUCCGUUGGUGAACCAGCGGAGGGAUCAUUACAGAGUUAUCCAACUCCCAAACCCAUGUGAACAUAUCUCUUUGUUGCCUCGGCGCAAGCUACCCGGGACCUCGCGCCCCGGGCGGCCCGCCGGCGGACAAACCAAACUCUGUUAUCUUCGUUGAUUAUCUGAGUGUCUUAUUUAAUAAGUCAAAACUUUCAACAACGGAUCUCUUGGUUCUGGCAUCGAUGAAGAACGCAGCGAAAUGCGAUAAGUAAUGUGAAUUGCAGAAUUCAGUGAAUCAUCGAAUCUUUGAACGCACAUUGCGCCCAUUAGUAUUCUAGUGGGCAUGCCUGUUCGAGCGUCAUUUCAACCCCUAAGCACAGCUUAUUGUUGGGCGUCUACGUCUGUAGUGCCUCAAAGACAUUGGCGGAGCGGCAGCAGUCCUCUGAGCGUAGUAAUUCUUUAUCUCGCUUCUGUUAGGCGCUGCCCCCCCGGCCGUAAAACCCCCAAUUUUUUCUGGUGACCUCGGAUCAGGUAGGAAUACCCGCUGAACUUAAGCAUAUCAAUAAGCGGAGGA